UGGGGAAUAUUGCACAAUGGGCGAAAGCCUGAUGCAGCGACGCCGCGUGAGUGAAGAAGUAUUUCGGUAUGUAAAGCUCUAUCAGCAGGGAAGAUAAUGACGGUACCAUGGGAGGAAGCCCCGGCUAACUACGUGCCAGCAGCCGCGGUAAUACGUAGGGGGCGAGCGUUGUCCGGAAUUACUGGGCGUAAAGGGUUCGCAGGCGGCAUGGCAAGUCCGAUGUAAAAGGCGAAGGCUCAACCUUCGUAAGCAUCGGAAACUGUCAAGCUUGAGUGAAGGAGAGGCAAGUGGAAUUCCUAGUGUAGCGGUGGAAUGCGUAGAUAUUAGGAGGAAUACCGGUGGCGAAGGCGACUUGCUGGACUUCAACUGACGCUGAGGAACGAAAGCGUGGGUAGCAAACAGG
rnacentral:rRNA from 1 species